AUUUUUAAAGUACCAUUAAUUUAAUGUUACAAAGGAAGGGAUGAGGCAGAGAGAGAUUAAACAAGUUGCCCAAGAGUGUGGGACAAUCAUUUGACAAGAAAUAGACUUGGAAAAUAACUGUCUGACUCCAAUUAUCCAAUCAAAGUUGAAGUAGAUAAGUCAAUCAACAUGCAAAAACAAAUUCCAAUAUAGGACAUAACAAAUGAAGACUACACAAAAUUAGCAAUUGUUAUAAUUUAGAAAACACUCCUUCUUCUGUUGUAGGAAAAAAUUCAUUAGUAAUUCCUGUUACAUCACUGGUAAGAGGGGCUUUCUAAUUCUCUGGAUGUUUACUCACGCUGCUUCUACGAUUCCAACAUAAAAAUGGAUUGUUGCUGAGUGUGGGAGAAAGGCAAGCAUAUUGGAAGAGUCAGAGGACUGGGAGAACUGCUGGGAAAUAGUGUUUUCUGGAUAGGACAGGGAGGCUGCACCCAUGAACUAUCAAUGGUAUGAUUAUCUAAACAUGGCCUGUAGAAGACCACGCCAGUCAAUACCAUAGCAUAGAUGAGAGAAAGGCUCACAAGUCUCCCCUAACCCAGCUGAGAUCUACAACCAGACUGGGGCUACUGAAAAUUAAAGCCUGUUUUCUUUAGAACAAGCUCCCUGCUAGGUAAGCAGCCCAUACAAAAAUGAUUAGCCCUAUACUCAUUACACUUAUCAUAUUUAUAUAUGACAUAUGUCUUCUUAUGUAUAUUAUAUGAGAAGAUUACAUGUAAUUAAGAGGUGGAUGUAGAUGGGCAGAGACAUGACGAGAGGAGUUCUUAAAUAACCCUAUGGAGUUUUCUUUAAAGGCAAAGACUUUCCAGAUGCUGUGAUUUCAGUCACCAAAAAGCAGAAAAAGUCACGAAAAGUUGACUCCUACCUACCGGAAAGAAAUCAUCAGUUUUUGAAAAUUUGGCUUAAAAAAUACCCGUGGCUUGUGUAUGAUGAACUAUUAAACCUUAUGUUCUGUGUCCUGUGUCGUAAGCAUGGGGUAAUGUCAGGGGGGAGUACAGUAAGUUUUUUCUAUGGCACGGACAACUUUAGAGCUGAAUUUCUCAGUGCUCAUCACUUUAGUGAAGCCCACGCCAAGGCAUCACUCAUGGAAGCAACUAGUGAUUCUCCAGUGAACCGAGCUGCCACUGAACUGAUGGUAAGAACCAUGAGCAAAGUGACUCUGGGAAGAGUGGAGAACUUAUUUAGAUCAUGCCAUGCCCUAGUAAAGACCGGACAUUCCCUCAGAGAUUUUAUUUGGAUGUGUAAGUUGGAUGAUAUGAAGGGUGUUGAUAUUGGCCCAGUCUUCAGAACUAACAAAUCAGCAAGAACAUUUACAUAUUUCAUUGCUGAAGUAGAGAGGAAAAACCUAAGAGAAAAACUAGAAAAAAGUAACUUUUUCUCUGUCAUCACUGAUGGGACUGUAGACAGUCUAGGCAAGGAAGCCAAAAUGGUUUAUGUUCAAUUUGCACAUGCAGGAAAAGUGCAAUGCCAGAUUGUUGGGAUACAGCCAGUAGAACGAAAGGACCCUUUAACGAUAAAAAAUGCUAUUGAGAAAACUCUAGAGACAAAUCUUCAUCUUAAGCUGUCAAGCCAAGACUUGGUGAAGAAGCUGGUUGGUUUUGGAAGCGAUGAUUACCCUGGAAUAGAGGGAGAGAACAGAGUAUCUCUGCUUUUGAGAGAAAUGCAGCCAUGUGUGCAAAGUAUGUAUUGCUUUGCACAUCAUCUAGAACUGUCUUACAGAGAGAUGUUCCAGACUGUCCCUCUCUACAACAACCUUGAGGCACUCCUCACCGAUAUUUACCAUUUCUAUCACAACUCUCCUCUCCUCAAGAGUUCUCUGAUAACUGCCUUCAGGGGCCUCCACCUCCAACCUGUGAUGCCUUCUCAAAUAAGAGGGAGGCGGUGGUUUCAUGGAAUGCAAGCAGCCCUCCAGAACUUUCUCAAAGGAUACCCAGCAAUUGCCCAGCAACUGCAUUCAGUAGGCAAAGGCAAAGACGAUACCAGUCAACAGAAAGCCAACAGACUUCUAGAACUCAUUCUCCGAGCAGACAUCAUCAAGUUUGCUCACUUCCUGACAGACAUCCUUAGUAUCCUUAGCCUUCUGUCCCAUGCCAGUAGGAACAGAAAUUCUUCCAUUGCCGAUGUAUCUGCUUCCUUGGAGUCAACACUGGAAAUGCUCCAGAUAUAUCAAUCAAGGUGACAGGUUGAGGACUUCUAAGGGUCCAUCAAGGUAGAUGAUUUGACUUGGGGAAUUGCUUUCCAGGUUUGCCUUCAUGUAAUUCUUUACUCGGGUGAUCUUCUCCCAGACCAGGGCCAAAAGAACGCAGGGUGGAAUCAACCACACACUUUCACGGUAACAGCCUCAGGGGGAAAGAAAACAUUUCGACCGUGAGAAAGGCGGUUUUAACACAUCUUAUUGAGAGAUUGCGAGGCUGUUUUAGAGAUGCCAGCCUUGAUGUGGUGAGAGCAACUGUGAUUGGAAGCUUUAGACUGUGGCCUACAAAGAUGAAUCAAGGUAACCCAUAGGCACCAAAUAAGCCAGUGCCUUUUGAUUGCGUGAAUUUAUUUUAGCUAUGUGACAUUUUUGUUUAUGUCUAUGGGUUACAGAAUUUGGAGUAAAAGAGAUAUCCAUCCUGAUUUCACAUUACCAACCAGUUCUAGAAGCUGCCAGUGUGAAAACUGAUGAGGUACAUACCGAAUGGAGCACAUUAAAAUUAGAAAUAUAUGCCAG
rnacentral:lncRNA from 14 species